rnacentral:rRNA from 1 species
CAGCAGCCGCGGUAAUACGGAGGGUGCAAGCGUUAUCCGGAUUUAUUGGGUUUAAAGGGUCCGUAGGCGGAUCUGUAAGUCAGUGGUGAAAUCUCACAGCUUAACUGUGAAACUGCCAUUGAUACUGCAGGUCUUGAGUAAAUUUGAAGUGGCUGGAAUAAGUAGUGUAGCGGUGAAAUGCAUAGAUAUUACUUAGAACACCAAUUGCGAAGGCAGGUCACUAAGAUUUAACUGACGCUGAUGGACGAAAGCGUGGGGAGCGAACAGGAUUAGAGACCCCCGUAGUCCCUGUCUCUUAUAA